rnacentral:ncRNA from 1 species
UUCAGUGCGACUGGCGGAAGUGGAAUUACCACAGGGAGCACUGGGAUAUAUGAAUUGCCGACCGCCUGGGCAGACC